rnacentral:rRNA from 1 species
GACGAACGCUGGCGGCGUGCCUAAUACAUGCAAGUAGAACGCACAGUUUAUACCGUAGCUUGCUACACCAUAGCCUGUGAGUUGCGAACGGGUGAGUAACGCGUAGGUAACCUGCCUGGUAGCGGUGGGUAACUCUUGGAAACGUUCGCUAUUACCGCAUGAUAUUAAUUAUUUCAUGAUAAUUAAUUGAAAGGUGCUAUCGCACCACUACCAGCUCGACCUGCGUUGUAUUAGCUAGUAGGGGAGGUAACGGCUCACCUAGGCGACGAUACAUAGCCGACCUGGGAGGGUGAUUGGCCACACUGGGAAUGAGACACGGCCCAGACUCCCACGGGAGGGAGCAGGAGGGAAUCUUCGGCAAUGGACGGAAGUCUGAACGAGCAACGCCGCGUGAGUGAAGAAGGUUCUCGGAUCGGAAAGCUCUGUUGUAAGGGAAGAACGGGAGUGAGAGUGGAAAGUGCACACUGUGACGGUAUCUUAUCAGAAAGGGACGGCUAACUACGUG